UACGUAGGUGGCAAGCGUUGUCCGGAAUUAUUGGGCGUAAAGCGCGCGCAGGCGGUCCUUUUAAGUCUGAUGUGAAAGCCCACGGCUCAACCGUGGAGGGUCAUUGGAAACUGGGGGGACUUGAGUGCAGGAGAGAAGAGUGGAAUUCCACGUGUAGCGGUGAAAUGCGUAGAGAUGUGGAGGAACACCAGUGGCGAAGGCGACUCUUUUGGCCUGUAACUGACGCUGAGGCGCGAAAGCGUGGGGGAGCAAAACAGG
rnacentral:rRNA from 1 species